UACGUAGGGGGCGAGCGUUGUCCGAAGUUACUGGGCGUAAAGCGCGCGUAGGCGGUCUAUUAAGUCUGAGGUGAAAGGUUCAACGCUCAACGUGAACAGUGCCUUGGAUACUGGUAGACUUGAGUGUGGCAGAGGAGUAUGGAAUUCCUGGUGUAGCGGUGAAAUGCGUAGAUAUCUGGAGGAACACCGGUGGCGAAGGCGGCAUCCUGGACCGGUAUUGACACUGAGGCGCGAAAGCCAGGGGAGCAAACGGG
rnacentral:rRNA from 1 species